UGGGGAAUAUUGCGCAAUGGGGGAAACCCUGACGCAGCGACGCCGCGUGAGCGAAGAAGACCUUAGGGUUGUAAAGCUCUGUUUUAGGGGACGAAAGGCGCCGAUAGUAAAAUGAUUGGCGAGUGACGGUACCCUAAGAGGAAGCCCCGGCUAACUACGUGCCAGCAGCCGCGGUAAGACGUAGGGGGCGAGCGUUGUCCGGAAUUACUGGGCGUAAAGAGCACGUAGGCGGGAACUUAAGUCAGGUGUGAAAGACCGGGGCUCAACUCCGGGGUUGCACUUGAAACUGGGUUUCUUGAGGGCAGGAGAGGAAAGCAGAAUUCCUGGUGUAGCGGUGAAAUGCGUAGAAAUCAGGAGGAAUACCAGUGGCGAAGGCGGCUUUCUGGACUGACCCUGACGCUGAGGUGCGAAAGCGUGGGUAGCAAACAGG
rnacentral:rRNA from 2 species